rnacentral:lncRNA from 12 species
AUGUCCAGUUCUGGCCCAAGUAACUCCAGCAAGUCACUGGGUGGGAGAGGUCUGUCUCCAGGGAAGACAGGUCCUGAAGCUAAAAAAGCUGCAGUAGCUCAUGUGCCCAUCCUGGCCAGCGGCCUCGGCAGCGGUCAUGUCCAUGCCUGGUGCAGCACAUCAGGCUCCAGCCCUGGCCCCAAGCGCUCCACCUGAAGGCCUCGGACAUCACACCUGCCUGGUCAUGGAUCAUAAAAUGUCCGAGCUGGGAAGGGAUAAAGGAAGUAUCUAGUUCCACCUGCUCUCCUAACAGAUGUGGAAAUACAAAUCAAGAGGGGAAUAAGAACUUGCCUGAUGCCACCCAGAUCGUUUACUCUAUAGACAUGUGCCUUGAACUCAGGGAUUUUGGAGCCUGGGUCACAUUAGAAUAGUUUUCUCUACUCUUCAUUUAAUUUUGGAAGCAAAAACUAGCCUUACUCUAGAUAAUUCGGGUCUGCCACAGUACAUGUGACUUUCUCAAGGGAUAAUUUGGUUGGGUACUACAAGAGACCCAAAUAACAUCUGAGGUCUUUGGGCGCUUGGUUAUGCUGGGAGUGGGUAACCCCAACAUGUCAGCAAUUCCAGCCAAGAUCCCUUCAGCCAAAAUAACUGCAUGUCUUUAUUAUUAUUAUUGAUUUAUUCAUGAGCGGCUCAAAGAGAGCCUGAUGCAAGACUCGAUCCCAGGAUUCUAGGAUCAUGACCUGAGCCAAAGGCAGAUGCUCAACCACUGAGCCACCCAGGAGCCCCAUAACUGCAUGCUCUUAAGAUGUCAGAUCCCUACAGAAAAUUACUGUUUUUUUUUUUAAUUAAUCACUGUUGUUUUUAACUUGGAGAUACUCCAUCUAGCUUUAUGCAAGAAAUAUGCUUCUAAAAACUCAUCUAUCUAAUGAAAAUUGAUGCAUAAAUGCUCUGAGUCCAAAUAUCCUUUUAAAAUAUUCACACUAGAGGUAGCCAUAGUUGCAGCUAUGGUGGAAGAAGCAUCCACAGUUAACACAGACCGGUUUGGGUUUUUUUUUUUAUGAAAUUACAUUUUUUCAUUGACUUUCCAUUAUAAUUCCCAUGAAGCAUUAAUGCCUCUUCAUCCCUGAUUGAUCUUUAACUGGUGGUGGCUUUUAACACUUUGGCUUUUUGGUUUCCUACUCUCCCUCCCUAAAAUAGACAGUAUGGGAUCUAUCAGGACACAUUUACACACCCAGGAAUGUAAGCUGCUGGGGGUGGGGGUGGGGGGGAUGCUGGUAUCAGGUGCUUGCUAUUUAAACAGAACUCUGUGGCAAAUCCCUAGAUAAGCCAAAGACUUGUUAUGUAAUAAAAAUAAUUGCCUUUUAAUUGGCCUAUUUGAU